rnacentral:rRNA from 1 species
CGAAACCGAUAGCGAACAAGUACCGUGAGGGAAAGUUGAAAAGUACUCUGAAUAGAGAGUUAAAUAGUACGUGAAACCGCUUAGGGGUUAAGCCCGAUGAACCCGAAUAUCUGAUGUGAGAAAUUCAAUACGAUUCAAAUUCAUAUUUUUAUAUUGGAUUUGUAUAGUAUGCACUUUUCUCAUAGUAAGACAUUGUAAUCCAUUGAUAUUAUAUCUCAUAUGAGAUGAUUUAACAUACGGACAAAAUGUUUUUGAUUAUUCUAUCAGUGAUAUGUUUACAUGUCAUAUGAAUAAAAUCGUUUUGUUUCCUGUUUAAAUAGUCGAUGGAUUUUUCAUUGAAAUCAUGCUUGCAAUUUAUUUUGCGUUUCGUAUCAUUAAUUUUUAAUUGUUGAUAGCAGAAAUGGCAUGUAUUCGAUUAACAAUGCGAUAGAUUUGGGAUACUUUCAGGACCCG